rnacentral:tRNA from 1 species
GAGGGUAUAGCUCAGUGGUAGAGCGCACGCUUAGCAUGCACGAGGUCCUGGGUUCAACCCCCAAUAGCUCCU